UACAUGUGGGGCAAGCGUUGUCCGGAAUCACUGGGCGUAAAGGGCGCGUAGGUGGCGUCGUAAGUCUGUGGUGAAAGCCCGGAGCUCAACUCCGGGUCUGCCGCGGAUACUGCGAGGCUUGAGUGCUGUAGAGGGGGGUAGAAUGCCGGGUGUAGCGGUGGAAUGCGUAGAGAUCCGGCAGAAGACCGGUGGCGAAGGCGGCCCCCUGGGCAGUAACUGACACUGAGGCGCGACAGCGUGGGGAGCAAACAGG
rnacentral:rRNA from 1 species